ACUGUUAAUUUGUUCUAUAUGAUACUAACAUUGGACUGUGUUUUUAAGGGAGAAGGUGAUGAUGGUGACAUUGAGUCUGUGGAGUUUCCAAAAUGCGUAGUCGCAAGCAACUAGACAACUAGUAACUUGGUAUUGCCAUGUAUCAACUAUUUUUUGCCAAUGGAGUCAUGGGGAGAUGGAGAGAUGGAGAGAAGUGGACACUCGAUGACCUGAUCACCUGAAUAUGAGACCUUAUUAGACCUUAUUAUUUUGUUGGUUGUUACUGUUAAAUUUUGUUUGUGUCAACUCCUGAACUCCUGCACUUGAACUCCUAUGUUGGAUUGUUGGCUGCCUAGGCACCUGGACCUGGUUCAGUGGCUCCACCUGAACAAUGGGUCAUUCAGAACUCAUUUGGACUUGCUGUUAAAGUGUUAAGUAUUAAUCUGUUAUGCUCA